rnacentral:rRNA from 1 species
GACGAGGGGUCCAAGCGUUGUUCGGAAUCAUUGGGCGUAAAGCGGGUGUAGGCGGCUCUAUAAGUCAGGAGUGAAAGCCCCAAGCUUAACUUGGGAAGUGCUUUUGAUACUGCAGAGCUUGAAUGUGGGAGAGGGUAGUGGAAUUCCAGGUGUAGCGGUGAAAUGCGCAGAUAUCAGGAAGAACACCCGUGGCGAAGGCGGCUCUCUGGGACGGUACUGACGCUGAGACGCGAAGGCCAGGGGAGCAAACGGG